UACCCGCUGAGUUUAAGCAUAUCAAUAAGCGGAGGAAAAGAAACUAA
rnacentral:rRNA from 3 species